UACAGAGGUCCCAAGCGUUGUUCGGAUUCACUGGGCGUAAAGGGUGCGUAGGCGGUCGGGUAAGUCUGACGUGAAAUCUCCAAGCUCAACUUGGAAAUGGCGUCGGAUACUAUUCGGCUUGAGGAAUGGAAGGGAGACUGGAAUUCUCGGUGUAGCAGUGAAAUGCGUAGAUAUCGAGAGGAACACCAGUGGCGAAGGCGAGUCUCUGGACAUUUCCUGACGCUGAGGCACGAAAGCCAGGGGAGCAAACGGG
rnacentral:rRNA from 1 species